UGGGAACGUACCCUUUGGUUCGGAACAACCCAGGGAAACUUGGGCUAAUACCGGAUAAGUCCGUAAGGAGAAAGAUUUAUCGCCAAAGGAUCGGCCCGCGUCUGAUUAGCUAGUUGGUAGGGUAAUGGCCUACCAAGGCUACGAUCAGUAGCUGGUCUGAGAGGAUGGCCAGCCACACUGGGACUGAGACACGGCCCAGACUCCUACGGGAGGCAG
rnacentral:rRNA from 1 species